ACAAAUCCCAUAGGUAAAGCUAGUCCUAAAUGGAGGCAUUUCAUUGCUAUGAAGGCACAAUAGUAGCACCUGGAGAACUAUCACAGCGAAACCACUGCCGAUGCUGGGCAUUGCACUGACCUGCUAUUUGAAACACUCACCAGGUCCAAUCACCAUGACACCACCAGUGCUGUCAAUCAGAAACCAUGCUGAUUCUGUGGAAUAUCAAGGCCAUUAAGAUCUUUGUAGACUAUAUUAUGACAGAGAACUGGAGAUUUAACCUAGUCCUAAGGUAGGUGACCCAGAGAAUACACAUGAGGAAAAACAAGAGAACAAUGUGGCCUUGCUCAUUAAGGUUAGAAUCCUGUGUUAUGUGUCCUUGAUUCCCGAGGAGCUCCCAUUCUGUGAGCUUCAUCAUUCUU